rnacentral:lncRNA from 1 species
CAGUCAACCAACAUUUCCUGUGUGCCCACUGUGUGCCAGGCACUGUUCUACACCCUGAAGAGACAAUGAAAAGAACGGAGCCCAGACUCUCUUGGGAUUUCCUGAAGUUCUUGGGGCCCCAAGGAAUCCUGAGAAGAAAAGGCCUGCAGUGCUGGUGGUGAGUAAGCACCUAGAGAAGAGAGCAUACAGCAGCAUAAUCUCCAGCAAAGACCAAUACUCAGUGUUCUUGGGAACCAAAGCGCAGGAACUUAAACGCUGAUGGCUAAUGACCAGGAGGAGAGGUGAUACCCAACCAGGAAAGCAGCAGCCGUCCAGCUCUUGGCACGUUGCCUUCAGUUCCAUGAAGGAGGGUCCCUCAUCCCACAUGCCACUGGAAUGGAAAGCAGAUUUGAAAGCAAGCACAGGCCUGCCAGCUGAGUACCAUUCAGACAUCUGCCUACAAUCAGGAGCCUCCUGCUCACGACUGGCUUCGUGCUAAGAAAAGCACAUUUCUUCAUUGGCCACUGGUGUGUCACAUCCACAAAGUAUGUGUUGAGGCUUGCUGAGCUUCUGGGGGUUUAGGAUGGACAAGGAGAGUGGCUGGAGCACUGUCCCCUAGCUCAAGCCUGGGGGAUGCAAGAGCACUGAGACCACCAGCCACUUGUUUUCAGGCAAGUGUCAGGAGCCACUCACAUCCUAAAUGCCCUUUGGCUGUGAGCACCAAAGAAAUCCCGCCACUGGUCAGCCUGGGUCAUAGAGCCCUGGGGACCUCUCUUCUUACCACUGUGUUUUGGCCGGUUCUCAGUGCAGCUCAAGAGUGCAGGGAUAAAUGAAAUCUUCUAUUUACUUUCACUCUACUGUGCUGGUGAGAUUGUUUUCAAACACUACCCCACCAUCACUGUUUUGCCACUGUGUUAGGACUGUUCUCAUUAGCCAUGAGAGACUUCAGAGGCAAAUGGACAAUGGCAAAACCAUAUAUAGAAAUUGAACUCUGACCCCCAACCUGCAGCAACCUCCCCAAGGAAUCCACCCCUUAUCUACAAUAAACAGCCCAGGAAGCCAGCCUGCUGUAGGUCAAACCUCAUAGGAAGCCACGUUGCUAUCUCAAGUGGUAAUCCACUAAGCUAAACAAUAACCUCUGUAACAAUAAGCCCCAAAUGGCUAGGAUUUGAUGAAUAACCAACAGGCUUUCUCAUUUUUAUCCCUGCUUCCAACUCAGGACCAAACGGGGAAAGCCAAAUAGGCGCCCCUAACCAACCGCAUAGGAUACCUCACUUGUAGUUGGCCUACCUGCAGUUUUGCCAUGCCAACAGCCUCCAAUCAUUCCUGAAGCUUUCCCUUUUUUCCACUCUCAAGCUUUCCUACUCCUCUUCCCGCCUUUGAGUCUUUGCCCAAACAUAAGUAAUGGUUGCUGAUUCCCUUGCUAUAGCAAGCUCUGAGUAAAUUACCUUUGCUUUUCUCAUUUGGUUGGUCUGCAUUUACUUACACAGCCAUUUAUUGACUUUUCCUUUAUGAAUUUCCAAAAAUGAUUUAAUAGUGCAUUUGGGUAACCAUAUUGAGCCCCAGUGUAAUGGUUACAAAUUAAACUGCUGUAUCAAAAACACCCCACACCAUAGCCCAAAUAUGACAGAAGUUCAAUUCUUUCCCACGUGCCUGUCUGCAGAUAAGGG